rnacentral:rRNA from 1 species
ACUCAAAUGAAUUGACGGGGACCUGCACAACCAGUGGAGCAUGUGGUUUAAUCCGAGACGAACCGAAGGACCUUACCCAGGUUUGACAUGCUAUCGUAUAUUUUUACAGAAAUGUAGAGAAAUCUUUAAGAAAUUUUAGAUGAUAGCACAGGUGUUGCAUGGCUGUCGUCAGCUCGUGCCGUGGGGUGUUCCCUUCAGUGGGGUAACGAGCGCAACCCCUGCCGUAUGUUAAAUUAUCCAUACGGGACUAUUCGCACUAGUUGCGAGAGGAAGCGGGGACGACGUCAAGUCGGCAUGGCCCUUAUACCUGGGGCAACACACAUGCUACAAUGGAGCCGACAAUGGGUUGCCAAGCCGCAAGGCGGAGCUAAUCCCAAAAACGGCUUCUCAGUGGGGAUUGCGGGCUGCAACUCGCCCGCAUGAACGCGGAAUUGGUAGUAAUCGGAGGUCAGCUAUACUCCGGUGAAUACGUUCUCAGGUCUUGUACACACCGCCCGU